GUGUGUGUGUGUGUGUGUGUGUGUGUGUGUGUGCGUGUGCGUACGAGUGUGUCCUGGCCUGGUAACCUGCUUUCAUGUUUUCAAUCAAGGAUCAUUUUGUGUCUCACUGUUGCCUCUGUGAUGCCAUUUAAAGGGACAUGCCACAUUCAUUUUGUUAUCGUUUCAAUCAACAACUCUUGGGGAAUUCUAAAAUAUUCUGUCUCUAGAGGUUUGCUUGCAGUUUGAUGGUGCUGUUGCUGCAGAGUGUGUUAGUGGUUUGCUGUUACACUGGCUGAAGUGAAUUUGGACCAGUUCUGAUUGUAGUCCUAACCAUGAGCACUUACAGGGAGAACAGGCAAAGAAUAUUCCAGGCGAAUCAGUGACAGAAGAACAGUUUACCGAUGAAGACGGUAACAUCAUCACUAGAAAAGUCAUCAGAAAAGUCAUCAGGCGGGUGUCCAUGCCUGACGACCAGGGCGGGGACAGGGGGAGGUGGGACCGAGGAGACCUCUGGCCUUGCCCUUUCUCACUGGAGGAGGAGCUAGAGCAAGGAGAUGGAGCUAAAAGCAGGAGGAAGGAGGAGAGGUUGGGAGAAAAGAAGCUUCACUCGUAGGGCUAGCUGUGCUCCACCAGGUGUGCAGGAAUUAGUCUCCACGGCAGAAAGUUACACACAACUAGAAACUAAAGGAAAAUAGGACAUUUCAGCCCAAUACUUCCAACGUGUGGUUUUCAAGCGUGAAGAACUUGACCCGUCUGAUUUUAGCAUGAGCAUGAAAAACACUCUCUGUCAAUUGAGGGAUCUGGGAGGUUCUCACCAUGGAAUCUGAAUUCUAAUUGUACAGCUCUCACUUCCUGUGGUCUAUGGACCAGAAGAAUUAUGCUUCCUGUUUGUGACUCGUAACGUGCCAUUGGUGUCAUGAGAGCUUUUGAGGAGCAUUGUGGUGACACUGAAAAAGGACUCCAUUACAGAAAAACUACAAGUGGUCAUGAGAAAAAAAAAACAUUGGUGUCGUGAGAGCUUUUGAGGAUCAUUGUGGUGAGACCGAAAAAGGACUCCAUUACAGAAAAACCACAGGUGCAACUGAACAUACACUGCCCUGUGACCAAAGAUGGCACAAAAGCUAAAUUCUAAUAGUAGGAGAAAGAAACUCAACAAAAUUACACAAAAAGAAGAGGAUCACUUCUGAUCCACCUCCAACACUCGCCUUAUAUUUUCUUUCUUGGACCCAUAAAUGUCAGGUUGUAAAUUGCUGGGGUUUUUGUUUUCCUUUAUAAACCUGAAAAUAACAAGACUUUUUUCUGUAUAGAAAUUACAAUCUGUACAAUUCUAAAAUGAUGAGUUACAAGAUGAUAAUGCAGAGGAGAGAACUUUACAAGUGCUUUCAACAUGAUUAUCAAAAUGGUUCAAGAUUUGAGUGAACUUCACAUGUUGUUGUAUAAUUAAUUAUUAUAGCAGGUAUAACAUUUGUAUAUGAAAAAAGCUGGUUUGAUUUUAACAGAGGAAAUUUCCAGAAAAUCUUCUGCAAAUUUCAGUGAUUCCCAAAAUGGGGAUGUAUCUAAUUCUGCAAAAGCAGUCUUUCAGAGUACUCAUAUUUUCAUGCAUGCCUUUCACAUUAUUUUAAGUAAAAUUUGUACAAGUUUGAAAACACUGUAUUAAAAAUUAGAAUUAAAACCCUUUAUCUGUGUACAACUAUAGCCUUAACAUUUGUCACCAGUUUUAUAUUUGAAAUUAGAAAAGAAAAAAAAAAAACAUAAGUGUUUUUUUUUGUCUCGGACGAGGAACAGUAUGAAGAAAGUUUGUUCUAUAGCUUCUUGAGGAUUACUGCUUCUCUAUGUACAACUGAAGGGCGGCUUCUGCAGGGUUUAUCAUAAAUGCUAUGAGAAAGGAGUAAUCUGAAUGUAUAUGCUAGAAGACUGUCUCGCUGUAAAAUUAUAAAUGUAUUGUGUGUAUUGGCUAUAAGGUGUAGAGGUCGCUGUAAGACUGUAAGACUGUUUGUAAUCAUUUUAGCAGUGUGUCAAUUGGUUUUAUAAAGGCUGCUGUGGUUUUAAAGAUGGGGUUUUGGGGUUUUUGGGAAGUAUUUCCUUAAGUUUAAUCUACUCACAUAAAGACACACAAGGCAUUAUUUGAUUGUAACUCUUGAUAGCAUAUGUAUGACAAAAACACUGGAUGGUCAAAACGAUUAUUUAAGCAUAAAAUAAAUUGUGUUGAACUCUGAAAUUGUGUGAUCUUUUUAGGCUUGAGAAUCUAUAUGCAGUGUCUAACUAGCAUUGUUUUGAUAGCUCAUUGGCGAUUACUUUGCAUUAGAUCUUCUCUUUGUAUUGGUUAGACUAGAGGCCCAUGUAGUUCAAGUGUGGUGUUAUUCUGGUGUGAAGGCUCAGACUUAGUGUGAUGAUGUUUAUGCUGUGGACAUGACAACCAUGUAAAGGACUUCAUUUCUUUUGACAAGUGAAGCAAUUUAGGGUAUUGUAUCAUAUAUCCUAUCUUACAUGUCAAUCAGGGGGUAGAGGGUAAUUUGAUAUGGUUGAACUAUCAAUUUUGUCAAUUUUGUUUGAUAUGUGUUUUCAACUGAGCAAAUUUUUUCGAUGUACAAUUCUUACUAACAGAGUGAAGCCAUUGAAAUGUAACUAUUCUAGCACUUUGGUUAUUCAAAGUCUUCUUUUAGAGGCUAUAGAAGCAAUGACGCCACCACAAUGUUUCAAGCGUCUUAAAAAAAAUGUAAUUUAAAAACAAAAUAAAUAAAAAAGCAUUGGUUUUGAAA
ensembl:lncRNA